ensembl:lncRNA
AUGUGUGUGUGUGUAUGUGUGUGUGUGUGUGUGUGUGUGAGAAAGAGAGAGUGUUACAGAAAACCAGAGAAAUGUGUGGAAACAAUUUAUAGGAGUUAUAUGCAGUUAUAGCAGUUAUAUACAGUUAUAGGAGUUAUAUACAGUUACAGCAGUUAUAUACAGUUAUAUAUGUUACAUAUAGUUAUAGGAGUUAUAUCAGUUACAUACAGUUAUAUACAGUUAUAGCAGUUACAUACAGUUAUACAGUUAUAGCAGUUACAUACAGUUACAUACAGUUAUAGCAGUUAUAUACCUUUAUAGCAGUUAUAGCAGUUACAUACAGUUAUAGCAGUUACAUAGAGUUAUAGCAGUUACAUACAGUUACACACAGUUAUAGCAGUUAUAUACCUUUAUAGCAGUUAUAGCAGUUACAUACAGUUGCAUACAGUUAUAUAAGUUACAUACCUUACAUACAGUUAUAUACAGUUAUAGCAGUUACAUACAGUUACAUAGUUAUAUACAGUUAUAGCAGUUACAUACAGUUAAAACAGUUACAUACAGUUAUAUACAGUUAUAAUAGUUACAUAGUUAUAUACAUUACAUACAGUUAUAGCAGUUAUAUACAGUUAUAUACAGUUAUAGCAGUUACAUACAGUUAAUGUAGUAUAUACAGUAUUAAUGUAAAACUUUCCUAAAGAGCUCCACACCCCUUUCUGAUAAGCUGCAUCAUAUACACAACAAACUGACACCCAACAGAAAUAAAGCAGGACGUGAACCGGUUUCUGUGUCUUACCAUUAUAUUUACAACACAAGAACCUUGGACAAAAAUAAAAAUAAAUACAUAUUAAAUAUAAAUAUAAUGUAAAUUAAAAUGGAAUGAUUUUGUAUAGCAGUGAUUUAUUGUAAAGUUUACAAUAUUCAGAAUGUCAACAAACACCAUGG